rnacentral:rRNA from 1 species
UACGAAGGGUGCAAGCGUUACUCGGAAUUACUGGGCGUAAAGCGUGCGUAGGUGGUUCGUUAAGUCUGAUGUGAAAGCCCUGGGCUCAACCUGGGAAUGGCAUUGGAAACUGGCGAUCUAGAGUGCGGUAGAGGGUAGUGGAAUUCCCGGUGUAGCAGUGAAAUGCGUAGAGAUCGGGAGGAACAUCUGUGGCGAAGGCGGCGUUCUGGACUGCAACUGACACUGAGAGACGAAAGCCAGGGGAGCAAACGGG